rnacentral:misc_RNA from 1 species
UAUUCUCAACCUUUAUAGCUUUUUUUGAGGCAAUAAAGGCUUGGACUUGGAGGUCGUGUCGGCGCAAGUCGACUCCUCUUAAAUGCAUUAGUGUGAACCUUACGGAUCGCCUCCAGUGUGAUAAUUGUCUACGCUGUGGUGUUGAAGUAUAGUCGAGUUCAUGCUUCUAAUUGUCCGCAUGGACACACAAAUUAAAACUUGACA